rnacentral:rRNA from 1 species
UACGUAGGGUGCAAGCGUUGUCCGGAUUUAUUGGGCGUAAAGAGCUCGUAGGCGGUUUGCCGCGUCUGCUGUGAAAAACUCGGGGGCUUAACCCCCGGGCCUGCAGUGGGUACGGGCAGACUAGAGUGCGGUAGGGGGAGACUGGAAUUCCUGGUGUAGCGGUGAAAUGCGCAGAUAUCAGGAGGAACACCGGUGGCGAAGGCGGGUCUCUGGGCCGUAACUGACGCUGAGGAGCGAAAGCGUGGGAGCGAACAGG